UACAGAGGUCUCAACCGUUGUUCGGAUUCAUUGGGCGUAAAGGGUGCGUAGGCGGUCGGGUAAGUCGGAUGUGAAAUCUCAGGGCUCAACCCUGAAACUGCAUUCGAUACUGCUUGGCUAGGGUACUGGAGAGGAGACUGGAAUUUACGGUGUAGCAGUGAAAUGCGUAGAUAUCAGGAGGAACACCGGUGGCGAAGGCGCUCAUCUGGCCCAAUACUGACGCUGAGGCGCGAAAGCUAGGGGAGCAAACGGG
rnacentral:rRNA from 1 species